AGAUUGAACGCUGGCGGCAGGCCUAACACAUGCAAGUCGAGCGGUAGAGAGGUGCUUGCAUCUCUUGAGAGCGGCGGACGGGUGAGUAAUGCCUAGGAAUCUGCCUAGUGGUGGGGGAUAACGUUCGGAAACGGACGCUAAUACCGCAUACGUCCUACGGGAGAAAGCGGGGGACCUUCGGGCCUCGCGCCAUUAGAUGAGCCUAGGUCGGAUUAGCUAGUUGGUAGGGUAAAGGCCUACCAAGGCUACGAUCCGUAACUGGUCUGAGAGGAUGAUCAGUCACACUGGAACUGAGACACGGUCCAGACUCCUACGGGA
rnacentral:rRNA from 1 species